GACGAACGCUGGCGGCGUGGAUUAGGCAUGCAAGUCGAACGGUAUCAUCCUUUCGGGGGUGAGAGAGUGGCGAACUGGUGAGUAACACGUAGGUUAUCUACCCUCAAGACGGGGACAACCCAGGGAAACUUGGGCUAAUACCGGAUGUGAGCAACUUUUAGUUGUUUGAAAGGUGGCGUAAGCUGUCGCUUGGGGAUGAGCCUGCGUCCUAUUAGUUAGUUGGUGAGGUAACGGCUCACCUAGGCAAUGAUAGGUAGGCGGCCUUAACGGGUGGUCGCCCACACUGGGAUUGAGAUACGGCCCAGACUCCUACGGGAGGCAGCAGUCGAGAAUAGUCUACAAUGGUCGGAAGACUGAUAGUGCGACGCCGCGUGAACGAUGAAUCCCUUCGGGGUGUAAAGUUCUUUUAUAUGUGAGCAGUGCUUCUUAUAUUAACAGUAUGGGGAGAAGAGAUAUUAGCAUAUGAAUAAGCAACGGCUAAACUCCGUGCCAGGCAGCCGCGGUAAACUGUA
rnacentral:rRNA from 1 species